rnacentral:misc_RNA from 1 species
GCUCAACCAUAGAUUACAAUGGCUGGAGACGUAUCAUCGACCUGCUGAUUAAAGCAAAGAAGGGCAAAAGUGAGGAGACUUUGCAUUUCUUACUGUGAAUAAUUUAUUGCAAUAUAUAUCAUCAGAAGAAAAAAGCAUUGUACUAUUGGUGUUGAAGUUGUGAUAAUGCAAUAAAACGUUUUCAGUGUUUGAAACAGAGAGAUGAUGUUACUGCUGCUAGCUAUUCCUAUUCAGAACGAAGUUCAUGCAUGAAUUCAGCAUAUGACAAUCAUGGACCACUGGCUAAGUGAAACUUAUAUGGAUUCACAUCCAAUGGCUCACCAUUUUUUGUGUUGAAUUCGUGUAGAAUAGCAUUUUCCUUUUUAAAAUGUUUUGUGUUGCUUUUCUUCUAUUAAGUAUACUUUAUUAGUGAUAGAGUUAGAUCUUAUCAUCUACAUGAAAUUAAU